GAUGAACGCUGGCGGCGUGCCUAAUACAUGCAAGUCGAGCGAACGGACGAGAAGCUUGCUUCUCUGAUGUUAGCGGCGGACGGGUGAGUAACACGUGGAUAACCUACCUAUAAGACUGGGAUAACUUCGGGAAACCGGAGCUAAUACCGGAUAAUAUUUUGAACCGCAUGGUUCAAAAGUGAAAGACGGUCUUGCUGUCACUUAUAGAUGGAUCCGCGCUGCAUUAGCUAGUUGGUAAGGUAACGGCUUACCAAGGCAACGAUGCAUAGCCGACCUGAGAGGGUGAUCGGCCACACUGGAACGGAGAAACGGUCCAGACUCCUACGGGAGGCAGCAGUAGGGAAUCUUCCGCAAUGGGCGAAAGCCUGACGGAGAAACGCCGCGUGAGUGAUGAAGGUCUUCGGAUCUUAAAACUCUGUUAUUAGGGAAGAAAAUAUGUGUAAGUAACUGUGCACAUCGUGACGGUACCUAAUCAGAAAGCCACGGCUAACUACGUG
rnacentral:rRNA from 1 species